GAUGAACGCUGGCGGCGUGCCUAAUACAUGCAAGUCGAGCGAACGGACGAGAAGCUUGCUUCUCUGAUGUUAGCGGCGGACGGGUGAGUAACACGUGGAUAACCUACCUAUAAGACUGGGAUAACUUCGGGAAACCGGAGCUAAUACCGGAUAAUAUUUUGAACCGCAUGGUUCAAAAGUGAAAGACGGUCUUGCUGUCACUUAUAGAUGGAUCCGCGCUGCAUUAGCUAGUUGGUAAGGUAACGGCUUACCAAGGCAACGAUGCAUAGCCGACCUGAGAGGGUGAUCGGCCACGCGGGAACUGAGACACGGUCCAGACUCCUACGGGAGGCAGCAGUAGGGAAUCUUACGCAAUGGGGGAAAGCCUGACGGAGCAACGCCGCGUGAGUGAUGAAGGUCUUCGGAUCGUAAAACUCUGUUAUUAGGGAAGAACAUAUGUGUAAGUAACUGUGCACAUCUUGACGGUACCUAAUCAGAAAGCCACGGCUAACUACGUG
rnacentral:rRNA from 1 species